rnacentral:rRNA from 1 species
CUACGGGGCGCAGCAGUGGGGAAUAUUGCACAAUGGAGGAAACUCUGAUGCAGCAACGCCGCGUGGAGGAUGACACAUUUCGGUGCGUAAACUCCUUUUAUAUAAGAAGAUAAUGACGGUAUUAUAUGAAUAAGCACCGGCUAACUCCGUGCCAGCAGCCGCGGUAAUACGGGGGGUGCAAGCGUUACUCGGAAUCACUGGGCGUAAAGAGCAUGUAGGCUGGUUUGUAAGUUGAAAGUGAAAUCCUAUGGCUUAACCAUAGAACUGCUUCCAAAACUACUUACCUAGAGUAUGGGAGAGGUAGAUGGAAUUUCUGGUGUAGGGGUAAAAUCCGUAGAGAUCAGAAGGAAUACCGAUUGCGAAGGCGAUCUACUGGAACAUUACUGACGCUCAGAUGCGAAAGCGUGGGGAGCAAACAGGAUUAGAUACCCCGGUAGUC